CGUAGAUCACCGGCGUAGAUGCAUUCCGAGCACCCGUUGCCAAUGUCGAGCCCUCAGCCCUAGCACCUCCUCUUCCUCGGAUUCAUGCUUAGUGUCGUCGCUUGAUUGGGCUGAUGCUCCACCAUCUCUGUGCUCUAGCUUGGAUUCACUACCGAUCCUUGGAUCGCAUUGCCUUCUCCACCCGAGCGGUUUCCACUGCGCUAGUUACCAUUGGUUCUUUCUUCACUCAUCUCACUUAUCUGCUUUUGUUGAAUUGCUUGCAGAGAUGAAACUGCCGGCACAGAAAUUGGCUCCGGCUUUGCCUUGGUAGCAGCUUUACGGUAGCUUUGGCCAUGAAUUUCUGUCUGCAAGUAUCUCUUCCGUGGCUCAACUGAGGAGUCUCCAAAUCUAGGCCCUGUAUGGUGUUUUACUUGGCAGACAUGGUUGGUGAGAGCACUAACCACUGUGAUCUUCCUUUUUGGUUUGAUCCUA